rnacentral:rRNA from 1 species
GAUCCUGGCUCAGGAUGAACGCUAGCUACAGGCUUAACACAUGCAAGUCGAGGGGCAGCAUGAACUUAGCUUGCUAAGUUUGAUGGCGACCGGCGCACGGGUGAGUAACACGUAUCCGACCUGCCGAUGACUCGGGGAUAGCCUUUCGAAAGAAAGAUUAAUACCCGAUGGCAUAGUUCUUCCGCAUGGUGGAACUAUUAAAGAAUUUCGGCCAUCGAUGGGGAUGCGUUCCAUUAGG